rnacentral:rRNA from 1 species
UACGUAAGGGGCAAGCGUUAUCCGGAUUUACUGGGUGUAAAGGGAGCGUAGACGGCAGUGCAAGUCUGAAGUGAAAGGCAAGGGCUCAACCCUUGGACUGCUUUGGAAACUGUGCUGCUGGAGUGUCGGAGAGGCAAGUGGAAUUCCUAGUGUAGCGGUGAAAUGCGUAGAUAUUAGGAGGAACACCAGUGGCGAAGGCGGCUUGCUGGACGAUGACUGACGUUGAGGCUCGAAAGCGUGGGGAGCAAACAGG